GAAAGGGGAAGAGGAGAAGAAAAGAAAGAGAAGAAGAGGGAAAAGUGAGGGAAGAGGGAUAGGAGCGAGAGGUGGCAGCAGCUAGGGCUGCAGCACCUCUGUUUCCUGCAGGUGGAAACAGAGGAGAGGCGGGGCGUUCGAAGAGGAGAAGAAGAAGAAGAAGGAAGAGAAGAGGAAGAGGAAGCAGGAGAAGAGGUUGUGAUACCUCUGUUUCCUGCAGAGGAAACAGAGGAGAGGGUGUGUGUGACGUCGGGGAGAAGAAGGGGAGGAAGGAGAAGAAGAGAAGAAGAAGAAAGGAAGGAGAGGAAGAAGAGAAGGGAAAGGAGGAGCUGCGGCUGCGGCGGUGGCAGCUGCAGCUGGAAGAGAAGGAGAGGAAGAGAUGGUGAGGAAGAAGAGAAGAAGUAGAAGCGGGUGAAGAGGCGGCACCUCUGUUUCCUACAGGAGGAAACAGAGGAAAGGAGGUGCUGUUCGUCGGGGAGAAGAAGGGGGUUGCAGCUGCGGCGAUGGCAGCUGCAGCUGGAAGAGAAGAAGAAGAGGAAGAUGAGCAGGGGAGGAGGGAGAGGUUGCGGCUGUGGCUGCGGCCGCGACUGCAGCAGUUGCAGCGGGGAGAGAAGAAGAAGAAAGGAAGGAGAAGGAAGAGGAGAAGGGAAAGAAGUAGCUGCGGCUGCGGUUGUGGCAGCUGCAGCUGUGGCAGGGAAAGAGGAAGAGAAAAAGGAAAGGAAGAAGAAGAGAAAGGGAAGGAGAGGAAGAAGAGAGGAAGAGGAGAAGGGGCUGCGGCUGCGGCGAUGGCAGCUGCAGCUGUGGCUGGGAAAGAAGAGAAGGAAAGGAAGAAGAAGAGAAAGGGAAGGAGAGGAAGAAGAGAGGAAGAGGAGAAGGGGUGGCAGCUGCGGCAGUGGCAGCUGCAGCUGGAAGAGGAGGAGGAAAUAGAGCAGGGGAGGAAGAAGAGGCUGCGAGUGUGGUGGCUGCGGCUGUGGCUGCGACUCCGGCUGCGGCUGCGACGUUGGCUGCGGUAGCUGCGGCAGCGGUGGUGGCUGCAGUAGCUGCAGUAGCUGCUUUUGGGAAAGAGAAAGAGUAGGAACGAGAGAAGGGAAGAAGGAAAUAGUGCAGUGGAAGGGGGCUGCGGUUGUGACCGCAGUUGCGAUUGUGGCAGCGGCAGCGGCGGCGGCUGUGGCAGCUGCGUUUGGGAAAGAAAAAGAAGGAAUGUGAGUAAGAGAAAGCAGGUGACUGUGCCUCGAUGUUCGACACGUGGUGUAGUUGCGAAGAAAGGAAGAAAACGGGAGCACAAAACGAAACAGAGAGAGGACACGGAGGAAAAGUAGAAGGAUUUGGGCUAGCACCUUCUUUGGAUCUUCGGAUCGAAAUCCUUGAAAGGUCAGCUUGUCACUCUUCGAGAUGUUUGAUUUGGGCUGAGGCAGUGGAUAGCUAUUCAGAAUUAUGGGCAAGUCCUGUUGGUUGUUAUGCUAUUGUUGUAUAAGCAUAUUUUGUAUGUAAUGAAUUGUUCUGAUGAUCGAAAUGGAUAUACUGUGUAAAAGUGUUAGAAGAUCUCUCUUAUUUGGAAUUUCGGAAUGUUAAGUCUAAUUUAUGACGAUAUGAACUUGUGGUGAA